UUUUUUUCUAAAGCUCGUCAUUUUCUCUCAACUCCCCAACCUUCUCUCUUUUCUUAUUUCGUUCUCUUUCCUUAAACCAACGACACCAUGGUCGUCUCCCUUUAAUUGGCAGCUCCGACUAGGAGCCUAAAACUUCCUACACCACUCUCGCUUCUCUUCCCGACCCUUAAAACCGACCAAACCCGAUGAGAUACUCCUCAAAACUCCCCAAAUAAAAUCCAAGAAACAGAUUACCUUCGGCUUAGGGGGUUUUUACUCCAAAAGAUGACGGCGAUGCCCCUUUUCCAAUGGGAAAGUUGCUGAAGAGAAAAAUAACUUUUUUUUGGUUUUGUGUUGCUGUUGGAAAGGUGAUAUCUUUUUUUAAUGAGGUUCCUCCCACUUUUUCUGCUCUUUUCUUGCCGUUAUAUCCCCUCUGCCUCUUUUUUUAUUUAUUUUUUCCCUGAUAUUUUCCUUGUUUGCAUGCGAGGGACUGUUGGAGUUUUGCUUCGGGGUGGCUCUGCCAUUGUUGAGGGAGUAUGGAAGGGGAAUACACAACCGUUGUAGGUGCUCAGGUGCAACAGAGACAGACGCGUGAACGUGUGGGGGACCAAGGCAUGAGCACAUGGGCUGGGCGAGAGAGGUUCUGGUGUGUGGGAGCAUAAGAGGCGAGCGUGCAUCGCGUGCGUUGGAAUAACAAAUAGUUGGAAUCCUUGAUUGGAAACUGAGCCUUUGGAUCAUUGAUUGGAUCUAACGCUUGACGUUUUGCGACGGUGGUAGUAGUUGGUGUUAAACCCUAAACUUGGAUGCUGGUAUGAAUCAUUAGAUCCUUACUCUGGGUCUUCAUAUUAAGGUCAUUUGUAUUUGGUUUUGUAAUUAGGGUCUGCAAAUGACAUUGAUAAAGAUUAGUGCAAAUUAAAUUAGUAUUUUAUGUA